AACUAGGUAGAAGCAUGCUGCAUGCUUAUUGGCUCACUGACGCUGAUGAGAUUUACUACUUAGGUAUUGAAAUUUGGGAUUGAAUGACGAGGCAUUUUUCAAUACUUGAUCCUAAGGAGGCAAUUCAGUCGAUGCCUAAAAAGUAUUGGAUUCGGUA